rnacentral:rRNA from 1 species
GUCUGCCUACGGGAGGCAGCAGUGGGGAAUAUUGGGCAAUGGGCGCAAGCCUGACCCAGCAACGCCGCGUGAAGGAAGAAGGCUUUCGGGUUGUAAACCUCUUUUGUCAGGGACGAAGCAAGUGACGGUACCUGACGAAUAAGCCACGGCUAACUACGUGCCAGCAGCCGCGGUAAUACGUAGGUGGCAAGCGUUAUCCGGAUUUAUUGGGUUUAAAGGGUGCGUAGGCGGAAUGCCAAGUCAGCGGUAAAAUCGCGGGGCUCAACCUCGCUCCGCCGUUGAAACUGGCGUUCUUGAGUGGGCGA